rnacentral:rRNA from 1 species
UACAGAGGUCUCAAGCGUUGUUCGGAUUCAUUGGGCGUAAAGGGGUGCGUAGGCGGCGCGGUAAGUCGGGUGUGAAAGUCUCGGAGCUUAACUCCGAAACUGCAUUCGAUACUGCGGUGCUUGAGGACUGGAGAGGAGACUGGAAUUUACGGUGUAGCGGUGAAAUGCGUAGAUAAUCGUAAGGAAGACCAGUGGCGAAAGGGCAGCUCGCUGGGACGUGACUGGACGCUGAGACGCGAAAGCGUGGGGAGCAAACA